ACUUAAAAUCCGUUGGCUUUAUUAAACCGUGAGGGUUCAAGUCCCUCUACCCCCA
rnacentral:tRNA from 1 species